rnacentral:rRNA from 1 species
UGGGGAAUCUUGCGCAAUGGACGAAAGUCUGACGCAGCCACGCCGCGUGAGUGAAGAAGGCCUUCGGGUUGUAAAGCUCUGUCGGACGGGACGAAAAUGCGAUUGGUGAAUAGCCAGUUGUACUGACGGUACCGUUAAAGGAAGCACCGGCUAACUCCGUGCCAGCAGCCGCGGUAAUACGGAGGGUGCAAGCGUUGCUCGGAAUUAUUGGGCGUAAAGGGUAGGUAGGUGGUCUCAUUUGUCAGAGGUGAAAGCCUUGGGCUUAACCCAAGAAGUGCCUCUGAAACGGUGGGACUAGAGUUCUGGAGAGGGUUGUGGAAUUCCCGGUGUAGCGGUGAAAUGCGUAGAGAUCGGGAGGAACACCAGAGGCGAAGGCGGCAACCUGGACAGAUACUGACAC